rnacentral:rRNA from 1 species
CAGAGUUUUGAAUAUCUGGCUCAGGAUGAACGCUGGCGGCGUGUAUAAUAUAUGCAAGUCGAGCGAAUGGAUUAAGAGCUUGCUCUUAUGAAGUUAGCGGCGGACGGGUGAGUAACACGUGGGUAACCUGCCCAUAAGACUGGGAUAACUCCGGGAAACCGGGGCUAAUACCGGAUAAUAUUUUGAACCGCAUGGUUCGAAAUUGAAAGGCGGCUUCGGCUGUCACUUAUGGAUGGACCCGCGUCGCAUUAGCUAGUUGGUGAGGUAACGGCUCACCAAGGCAACGAUGCGUAGCCGACCUGAGAGGGUGAUCGGCCACACUGGGACUGAGACACGGCCCAGACUCCUACGGGAGGCAGCAGUAGGGAAUCUUCCGCAAUGGACGAAAGUCUGACGGAGCAACGCCGCGUGAGUGAUGAAGGCUUUCGGGUCGUAAAACUCUGUUGUUAGGGAAGAACAAGUGCUAGUUGAAUAAGCUGGCACCUUGACGGUACCUAACCAGAAAGCCACGGCUAACUACGUGCCAGCAGCCGCGGUAAUACGUAGGUGGCAAGCGUUAUCCGGAAUUAUUGGGCGUAAAGCGCGCGCAGGUGGUUUCUUAAGUCUGAUGUGAAAGCCCACGGCUCAACCGUGGAGGGUCAUUGGAAACUGGGAGACUUGAGUGCAGAAGAGGAAAGUGGAAUUCCAUGUGUAGCGGUGAAAUGCGUAGAGAUAUGGAGGAACACCAGUGGCGAAGGCGACUUUCUGGUCUGUAACUGACACUGAGGCGCGAAAGCGUGGGGGAGCAAACAGGAUUAGAUACCCCCUGGUAGUUCCA